CUCUGAGCUCAGUGCCCCCUUGCAGUUGAAGGUCACAGGUGCUGGGUUCACAGACCAGGAAUUCUGCAGCUCCCCGGGCUCAGCCAUGUCUGUCUCCGUCUGGAUCCUCCGCUAUGUCUUGGCAAUUCUCCUUCUGGUGUCUGCCCCGAUCAUCACCUUCAUCC